UUUUUGAGCAAUUAUUAGGUUUUUCUCAUCAUUAUAAAAUCGGACAAAAGGUAUAGUGAGAUCUCAAGCUUAAUAACUAUAAUUAUUGGAGUACUCCAUGGGGCUAGUCCCGAAUGAUGUUCCGUCGAGUCUCAGAUCGACCCAAUAGACCUAUGUUCCACAGUCUAAAGCAGGGACACAUAAUUGGCCAUAUCAAAGCCGUUGAGCCAAAACUUCUAAUCGUCCGGCUCUCAAUGGAUUAUAGGUGUACCCCUGUGGGACAUGAUCUAACUCAAUUAUAGGGGUCCUUUCAAAGCAUAUGUGCACUAACUCUUCCAAACUCGAAUAAUGCAUUUGGAAGAGUGGCUUCCCGUACGAAAUGAAAAUGCACAUGCCAUGUAAUGGUCUCGUGUCAGGAUACGGACUUAUGUCCCAUAAGUCUUGACCAUUCCAUACAUGGUGAAUACUCAAUAAGUACUCGUGUUCUAUUUUUUUCGUUUGGAUUCUCCAAGCCCUGGCCGAUUGCAGCUGAACAUGAGGUUAACAUAGAAAAUCCUGACUAGGAGGUGACCCUCACACCUCCUCGAGAAAUUGCUUUCUCAACACAUGAACUCUCUAUGCCUCAUGCGUACUCGGGGUAAAAGAAUCUGGGCUCCAUUUCGCAAGACAUCAAGAUUUCAAUCUCUCAAUCGCUUCCACUGAAUGAGAGAUUAUUGGAAUUUAGGCCUUGAUAGGUCAUAUUUCCAACAGUCCCUACACCCAAUUACUUUGAAAAUUAGACUGUCCAUCUACAUCCACUGUGUUGUUGGUCAUGAUCUUCUGCUGAUAUUAGGUGCCUGUUCCCAGUUACCAUAUGUUCCUUUAACCACCUCUGUUUGGUCCGCUAGAGAACAACAAAGUUGAGCUUGAUCCACACAAGGAUCAUAUCUUGGAAAAAUCAAAUCCCAUGUACAGCCUGCAUUGUCCAGCCUUCAUGGCCAACUAGGUUAAGGUUCUGCUUAGCAUCCAAGUAAUUUUGCUCUGUUUCCUGAUAUUUUCUUUAUGCAGGACAAUCAUAAGUCUUUCUAGCUCAGAUAUGGUUUAGAAGUAUCUACAAUUUCAUAGCAAAUACUUUUGGUUAGAUAGACACCAAAAAGAAGUUCCCCACCUAUUAUUGGUUGAUCAAGAAAUAUGAUGUUGCUUGAGAUUGAAGACAAAUACUUGCAUGGCUUCAUAGAUUAAAAAUGUAUAGGAGUCCACGAUGCAGACACCCUGGCCAAAGCAGCAGCUACCGGUGAAGGACUUCUUUGAUUUUGAAUGGCUCUCUUCGUGAAGGACUACUUGUAUUUUCGGAUGGGUUUCGUUUUGUUGGUUGCCUUGUUCUCAAUGUAACCCUUUAAAAGAUGGCCUUUUAAUUCUGUCUCCUCUCCUCCCUCGUCUCUCUCUCUCUCCCCCCUAUACCUCUGCAAGCUUCCUGUGACUAGGUGCUACUAUCUUAUCUUGUUGGGACCCUUUACUCUCUAUAAAAGUUAACAUUCUAAAAAAAAAAUGAAUAAAAGUUUGGCUGAUGUUGGGUGUUGUGUGUAGUACCCAGAUCUAUAAGUACCAUUAUAGUGUUCCAACUAGUUCGUUGAGCUUAUGUUAUGGGUCACAUUCUGGGAUCUCCCAACAUAGGUGGUGAUCCUGCUUCGGAAUUUCGCUCUGGCCCUCUAGGAAAGGGAUCUCGACUUUUAAAGUUUGGGAUUUUGAUUCCCACUAUUAGGGAUCCUGAUUCCUACUGGUAGGGAUCUCGAUCUCAACCUUAAAGACCAAGACAACAAUUAAACUGAUGAUUUUCUUUAUUUAUAGCCAGCUAGCAACACAAUUAUAGUUUUAAUAUAGUUCCAUUGCUUAUUUAUUAUAAAUAAAGAGACCUUUAAAUAAUAUAUACAGUCCUAGGAUAUACAUACUCUUUAAGGUUGGGAGCAAGUUCCCCAAAAAGGUUGGGAUCAUGAUUCUAAAAGGUCGGGAUCAAGAUCCCGAAAGUGUUGGGAUCUCAAUCCUUAACAUAUGCAUUAUACGAACAUCACUCCUAACCAUAGAGAUCUUGUAGUAUUUCACGAUCCCCCAAUCCUGGUUCUGAUCCUAACAAUUAUGUUAUGGGCAUUUAUUAGAUGGAAAAGUAUAGCCUCCACAUCAUGUAAACACUUGAAUGGUGCACAAGCACCCUUUCAAUGGUUUAGAUUGAAUCUGGGCUAACCUAAGGGCCAUAAAUUGAUUUUGUCUUUUAUUUUUUAUUUUGUUCUAGACUUUAUUCACAUGAAAUUGGGAUGUACAUGCAUCUUCACGAGACCAUACUCAAUAAAAGUGAAAGAAAUAAUUCAACAUAAUUGACCAAAAUACCCUGAAACAUUCAUAGUUAUUUUGUGUCAAUUUUUUACUUUUUUUUUUUUGUGUUUUUAUUUGGUACGCCCUUGUUUGAUGCAUGGACGUCCCAAUUUUCAUGUGGAUAAAAUUUUGUAUAAAAAAAAACGAUUUUGCCUCUUGUUAGGCCCAGAUUCAAUCUGAACUUUUGAAGGGUGCUUGAGCACCCUUCAACCGUCCACAAGAUGUGAAUGCUGCAUGAUCCCUUACUAGAUUUUAUGCCAUUCCAACAACAAUUUCUAUCAUGAGCUAAGAGUGUCAUACGUUCAUGAGAAGAUAUCAAGCAAUUGUAUUUUGGUACUACAAAUCAAUUCUAGCUGUUGGCAAUUUUCAUGCCGUUAGAAAUCCAAUGAAAAGGAAAAAGCAGUAUCCAUGUCAAUGGAUCAUUCAAUGAAAUGGUAUCAGAUAGUAGGCAUCUUGCAAUUUUGUUCUUGAAAGUUUACUUGGUUAAAAAAAGGGGAAUCUUGGGUAAGAGGUUCUGGUCUUAGAUUUGAUAGAACCUUUGCCAUUCAAGAAUGGGUUAAUGUGAUGAAGAUGCCAAAAUUUAUCAUCUGGCUCAAAUUAGCACUAUUUAAUUGAGCUGUUUAUUUUUCUUUAUCCAUUAACAUCUAAUUCAAUGCUGUGUCAUACAUUUGAAUUUGAAGCAUAAAAGAUGUCUACUGCCGAAAACACUUUCUCAGAAGAUGGUAGUGGUGGGUGAUAAAUUGAACCUUUUAUCGAGAAAAGGUGAACAGGGAAACUUUCAAGGAUAUGAAGAUGCGAUUCAUGACAUUUGUUUCAGUUGUACAUGGCUUGAUCAUGCUGGAUUAGAGAUUUGAUAGCUGCACAAGUUCCUCGAGUCCUAAGUUGCACAGUGGACAGCAGGUUUGACUCAAAGGUUGGAUUGACUGAUGGAUCCAUCGAGUUGCAAACCUUGAAGGCAUCUUUGGUGAGUAUGAGUUGCAUGAGAUUUGCACCAACUGCCCCACAAUUCAUGGAUAUUUUCUAGAGACUUCAUAAGACAAUCCGUUUGUAGGUGUCUUUUUGGGUUGCAAGACUGAAUGACUACUUGUUGACAUAAUUGGUAAGCCUAUGUAUGACAAGGAUCCAAGUGAAGAACAUGAUCACUACUUGUUGAGAUAAUUGGUGAGCCUUUGUAUGAUAAGUAUUCAGAUGAAUAACAUGUGAUCAAAGAGGUAUAUGAUGAAAAUCUUAUUUUUUAAUUUUGAACAGGAUUUUAAAGACAUCUUAUCUGAAGAUGAUUGCUAUCCUCUUGAUCAUUUUUGCAAACAAAACACAUAUUAACUAAAAUCUUCCCUCUCUUCCUCAACUUAUCCACCAUCUAUCCAUCGAUAAUCUCCAAAGGAAAUCCUGCACCUUAUCUAAUAUCGCCCAUUUCCAAAUCUCUGCCAAUUCUGGUCUUAACCCCCUGUACCUAUCAACUGACAACUAAUGAUACAAUGAUUUCAUUGUGAAGAGAUCUAAUCAAUAACAAGGUAUGACACUCUGUUAUAUCGACCUCUAAGAUUCCAUGAAGUCUGAAAGUCCCCACCCUAAACAUCUCUAACCACAAAACUUGAUUCUCCAUGAAUCUGAACAGAUAUGGGAAUCUGAAUCUCAAGGCCUGAUCUCCUAACCAUUCAUGGUAUAAAAAAAGAAUACUCUCACCACACCCAAGAAUGUACCUAACAUUCCUCAAGAACAGCAACCACAAUGAAGAUCCCUUUCCAAAUAAAGGAACUCUUAUUUAUACAUCUCCCAUCCCCAAUAAGAGAUGAAGAUCUAUCAACGCCAAAUUUCGCUUGCAAAACUUGCUUUCACAAUUGAUUGUUCCCUUGAGUGCAUCUCUAUAUGAUUUACGGUUCAAUCUUUAAGAUAUUUUUCAAGCUCAUCAUCAUCUAAGCCUUAUCCCAAUUAUUUGGGUUCAGCUACAUGAAUCAUGUUUCUUCAUACUUCUCUAUAAUGGGCCAUACUCUAAGUAAAAGCAAAAAUAACCAUAUCUUUUCUCACUACUUUAUUCAUGUCCUUUUGGGCCUUUCUCUUGCUCUUUUGGAGACUUUCACUUGAAUCAAAUCGCAUCUCCUUAAUGGUGUUGUAUAAUCUUAGAGAUAUUGUUAAUAUGGGUAAACCAAAAAGAAAGAUUGUGGGGGGUGGAAAGCUCCAAUUCACAGGUUAGUGAAACUGAAUUUUGAUGGUAGCUCGGUUUGCAAUCCUGGACCUCCGGGUGUUGGUGGAUUGAUAAGGGAUCACAUGGUUUUGAUCUUGCCAGUUAUUCAGGACCGUUUGGGGAGGUUUCGGCGAAUGAGGUGGAAUUGAGAUCUCUUUAACAAGCCUUCAUGCUAUCAUCGAUAAUGGCCUGGGGAAUAUUGUGGAGAUCAAGGGUGGCUAUGAAUUUUGUCAGCUGGUGUUGAGCUGAAUGGAAUGUUCCUUAGACUCUGAGAUCUAUUUUUUUUUACUACUGUGAGAGGAUUAACACUUCUUUUUCAUAUGUUUAUUGGGAAUUAAAUAUGGAGGUUGAUGAUUUAGCCAAACAAGGAGUCGGAAAGGUGGAGGUGCUUGUGCAUAUUUCUUGAUUUCUUUGUAUUUGUUUUGCGAGUUCGUUGUAGUUAUGUUGUUAUAAUUAUGUUUACUGAUUAACAAAAAUUUUGGAAUGACUAUGACAAGAAAAAGAACCA